UUGAAACUGGAAAUUGCUAUUUUUCUUACCUUGUUGAGAAGAAGCGUGAUGGUUUACCAAAUGUACGGAUCCUUGGUGGUAGAGUAAUUCCUUAAAGAUUGUUCACGUUUGCUUGGGUAGGCAAUAUCAUCAAUAGAGUUGCAUUAUGUCCUCAUUCAUCUGUUUUUCCUUUUUUUACUUUCUUUUUUUUAUUAUAUAAACUUUGGGCCAAUUCAUUCAUGCUAUUUACUUUUGUCCGCUUUAUUGCUGAUUUGGUAAAUCUAUUGUGCUUAAGAGAUGAUUGUUAUUUCCAUUUUGUGGACUGCAGCUUGUUUUCAAGAACUAAUUCAUGCAGACAACUUUACUACUUAAAAUAUUCAUGUGCUUCAUUGUUUUUCCCUAUCUAAACUGCGGCUGUGAGCCAUUUUGAAUGAUUUAUAGUUUGGUUGCUUUUGGAUUGUGCGUAUGCAUAGGAAUGCUUGUGGUUGUGUGUGUGUGUGAGAGCAUGUAUUGGGUCUGUGUUUGGAAUGCUGGUUAACUAGAUUAUCUGGGAUGCUCUUGAGGGCAGGACAUCAUUUUCCAUGGUUUAGUGUCAAUGAUUUAGAGGUAGGCAUGUUUCUUUUUCCUUCUAGCAUACUCACUCUCUGAGCUUCAUCAAUGGGCCAGUUAUCUUGUUAAGCAUAUGUGCUCAAUAUAAGUGUAACUUCGCAUCUCUUGUCUCUUUGCCUUCAUUUUACAGCCACCGAUGUAGGAGGAGAGGUUGUUGAGGUUGGAACAGCAGUCAAGAAAUUUAAACCUGGCGACAAAGUUGUAGCCAUCCUUAGUCAUUUGGUAAUGCUCACCUUCAUGUUUUGCAUUUUAUCUGUUGGUAAGAUUGUAUUUUUGUGAUGAUGAUGGAUCAUAAUCUGGAAUUAAAAUAACUUUUUCACAAUGUGCGAGAGUUCUUGGAAUGACUGAUUGCUCUCUUAGUCAGUUUAUGAGCUCCUACACACUAGUUGAGGCCGGCUGAUGUUAUACCAUUUUGUGCUUUCAUAUGAUAUAACCUGUCAGAAAGGAGGAGGAUUUGCCGAGUUCGCUGUAGCAAAGGAGAACCUAACGGUGGCAAGGCCUCCUGAAGUAUCCGCACCAGAAGGGGCAGGGUUACCGGUAGCUGGCCUCACUGCUCUCCAGGCCCUCACCCAAGCUGCUGGGAUAAAGCUCGACAGGAGUGGGCCACUGAAGAAUAUCCUGAUUACUGCUGCCUCGGGUGGCGUUGGCCACUAUGCAGUUCAACUCGCAAAGCUAGGAAACACACACGUAACUGCAACUUGUGGGACUCGCAAUGUUGACUUUGUCAGGAGCCUUGGUGCUGACGAGGUCCUCGACUAUAAGACUCCGGAGGGAGCCGCCUUGAAGAGCCCAUCCGACAAGAAGUACGACUUCGUGGUCCACUGCGCACACUCUUUCCCUUGGACAGUUUUCGAGCCAAACUUGAGCGAGUGUGGCAAAGUGAUAGAUAUCACCCCAAGCAUUGGCGCAAUGAUGACCUUCGCUCUCAAGAAACUCACCUUCUCCAAGAAGCAGCUCGUGCCAUUGUUAUUAACACCCAAGGGCGAGAAUCUGGAAUUUGUGGUUAAGUUGGUUAAGGAAGGGAAGCUCAAGACCUUCAUCGAUUCGACAUAUCCGCUGAGCAAAGCGGAAGAUGCUUGGGCGAAGUCUAUAAAUGGUCAUGCCACCGGUAAGAUUAUCGUUGAGCCAUAGGGACUAUAUACUAAUGGCUGGUGUUUUUAUGGGUGUUGUCUAUGAUAAUGCUUUUCUUCUUGCUGUGAAUGUUUUUGAACGUGUUUGUUAAUUUUUACCUAUGGAGAGAUUUCUGGGAUGUGUAUGUAUUAUCACUUUGAAUAGAGCGAUUUACCUUAUACUGAAAUGCUUGUACAUAUGUUCCCCCUAUGAAUCUUUGAAUCUUUUUCACUUGUACUUUUGGCUCGUUUAGUGGCUGUAGCCUACCUAAGCUUAGCUUUGUACAGUUGAAUCGGAAAAAGUACCAAAAAAGUUGUAAACAUAUUGCAACGAUACCAAUUUAGUUUUCAACUUUUCAAUUGGACCAAUAAUUUUUUUCAUAUGGAUACUAAUUGAGUCUAGCUAAUCAGUUUAUGCUAAAAAUUGUUGACAUGGACAUGUGAUACGUCCAAUGCUCAUGUGGACAUUUUUAUUUAAUAUUUAAUUAAUUUUCGAUUUUUUAUAAUUUUUUCUUCCUCUUUUUUUUUUCUCCUUUCUUCCUUACUUUCCUCCACCACGGUCAACGGAAGUCGCCUUCUACCAAGAGGGCACGGGUUGGGAUGCCUUCACCGGCCACAAGCGAGACCGGCCCUUGCCAGCCUGUGGUUGUGGCGAGGGCCGACCUUGUCUAGACAAAACAAAGCCUCUUGCCAACGCUAGGGGCAGAGGAGGCCAACCCAAGUCAUAUCUAGUGAGGGGACCUUGCGACAAGGGCAACCUCCCUCAGAUGGCGAGGGGCCUUGUCUAGGUAAGGUUAGUAGCUGGUUGCUCGCCAACCCUCGCUUUGGUCUUUGGCGAGAGUUGGGCGAGGGUCCCCUUGUUGAACCUGGCAAAGGGUGGCCUUGCCCAAUCCUCAAGUUGAUCUCGCCUAUUGUUGUUGCCUAUUGCUGUUGCUAGCGAGGGCGUCUUGGCCCUCACCCUUGCCGACUAUCACAUAGGCUAGUGGAGGAAAUAAAGGAAAAAAAAAAGGAAAAGAGAAGGAAAAAUGAAAAAAAUAUGUAAACAAAUUAAUAAAAAUUCAAAAAUAAUUAAAUAUUAUAUAAAAAUAUUUACGUCGACGUCAAUCAUGUUAUGUAGAAUGGCUAGCAUUUAUGUUAGUAAUUUCCGGCAUAAAUUGAUGGAAUGGACUUAAUUUGUACCAAUGUGAAAAGAUAUAAUAUUAAAUUUGUCCAAUUAAAAUGUUUAGAAUUAAAUUGAUACUAAUGCAAUGGGUUUAAGAUUUUUUUUUUGUACUUUUCCUCAGUUUAAUGCAUUGUGGGCACUAAUUGUGGGCAAAUCAUAUUCAACUUAAGCUUAUUUUGUCUAAGCCAUAGCACAAUGUGAUUAGAUAGAUUAAAAUUUUUGAAGAGUUAAUUGGGAAGGAAAAAAAAACACAAGUUUGAAGGUCAGAAGUAUAUCAGCUUGCGAGAUUUCUACUGUUAUUUAUCGUCGGACCCGCAAAAUUUAUUAACAGGCGCACGUUCAAAUUUAAGGGCAUAUAAAAUCACAUGGAAUUGUCUCACAAUCUUUUUAAUGAAAGAACUUUCGAAAGGUAUAUGUUAAUUGCGCAGAAGUAUGACAUUUUGUGUGUGAUGGUGUCGAUGCGAGAAUAUACUUAUAAGAUAAGUCAACUCAAAAGCGAUAUGACGAGUUAAUGAUUUCAACAUAUGAAACACGGAGAUAACUCGAAAAUUAUAAAAUUUGCGCGGCACAGCUUGAUUAUGGCAGGUUAAUGGAUCAAUAAGAUUGUAUGACCUGCCAUGAUACGUAGUCAACAUUCCAUGAAUCCGAUACUAAACAUCCUCGGUUUUUAAUCAAAUGUGUUUACAAGUGAGUAUGAUUAAUUAACAAUAUAUCAGCAAAUCAGAUUAAACAACUUGAAUCGUGGUUGAUGAAUUUUUUUUUUAUCAAACAAGGGUUCAAACGUAGAAGCUGUCUGCUUAGAGGUCCGUAAAACAUCCUAUAAAUCUCAUAAAUAUGUUAAUUCUAGCUUUUGGGCUUACGUAAGUGGUUGACACAUAACAGUUUGCUUGUAGUUAGUAAGAUAUGAACAGGUGAUCGCUGCUUUCUGAGUUGAAAACCCUUAUGCUCCAUCCGAAGGUACCAAUCUCUGUGGUUUUCGCAAUCGAUGAAUUAUCAUCAAUUCAAAAUCUUAAUGAUAAACCAUGUAGUACGUAGACACCAUAAUUUUCUCAUGAAUUAUGUCUAAUCAGGUUGCAUACACUUUGUAUCAAUAUUAAUCAGUUAAUUUAAAUGGGUUACAAGAAUAAAUUUCCAUAUCCAGUAAGAUCGGCACAAAUAUGAUAAGAUUCACACAAUGUCUUGUAACCGAGGGACUAGAUCAACAAGUCAAUUACAAGACACUGUGCAAAGUACAGGUCAACUUAUCAAGAAUACCUGAGUGUUUUGCCACCUCACUACAAGCACGGGAUGCUAUUAGGUGGUAGCCAUUUUCGAAGAAAUAAUAGGGAGUCUACCUUUUUUGCGAUGGCUCCCAAGUUUCCAAAAAAAUAUUUUCUUCCCCACUUAAGAGGAAUAAUCCCGAAAUUCUACAUUCCAAAGUCCAGACAAAGCUUUUUGAGGACAUGCUCAUGUCUAAUAUAUCGUGUCUUGAAAUUGGCCCGAAUACAAUCGGCCUAAUUUGAAUCCGAUAAUAUUAAUCAGGUUCAAAUCUCACCACGUGUCGUGCAAGUGACUGCCCCCCUGGUCGGUCGUGCUAUCUCAUCGAAUGCUCCAACCAUGAAGUAAAGCCGCAGGAUUUUCGUUGGAACCGCCCUCACUCGAGGAAUCACAUUUGGCGCGAUUUUCAGCGGUUUCGGGAAAGCAACCAACGACGGUGGUUCUUCUUCAGCGUGUUUUGCCACUGUGCCCGGACUCCCGGAAGAUCGUCCCUCCUGACGAUAAGAGCUUGCGAAGAGCUCCUCCGCCCUCCCAUCUUCUUCCUCUCGCCCUCUCCGACUGUCCGCGCCGUUUCGCGUUCCGGAAGUGGUGGACAAGGAGCUAAUGCGCGCGGUUUGGUACGAGUCCUACGGCGGAGGAGCCGCCGGUCUCAAGGUGCGAAACGGUCUGCUCUCGAUUCUUGGUGCGGAGAUGUUCAUUUCUCGAUGAUCUGAAGGCGGAAACUCUGGCUCUCCGUGCUUCCAUCUGAGAUUCCGCAGGAUUUGUAAUCCUCGUGCAUGCUAAAUCGCAUGCCGAUGCCAAGAAACCGGAGACUAAGGAAGAGUCCUCUUGAAUCUGCUUGAAGAUAAAUCAUUUUCAGCGUUGUGAUUGCUUAGUCCAACGUUUUGACUAGUCUCUUUGAUUGAGCUUAUGCUGCAACUGCUUUUGAUUGUUACUGGGUGCAUGAAUGAGGAUCCAUUGAUUCAUCACACCCUGUUUUGGAAGGAAGAAGAUAGGUAUCAUAGAACAUUAUCAAUGCACGAGGGUGAAAAGGAGCGCUAAUUUAGCUGCAAAAUACUGGUAUAGCAAGGAAUAGGGUACAACCCUUUAGUUAUUGUCUGAUGAAUUUCAUGCCAUAAUAAGCAUGGAGUUCUCUAUUCUGGUGUUGUGCUUAUCCAGUGAUGGAUCGCAGGGGCUUGGGGUUGCACCCAAUUGCUUGGUGCUUCAGUAAAUUUUUACCAAUAUCAAUGGAACUCAUAAAUAAUAGAUAUCUCGCCCCUGAGUUUGGUAGUGCAGAACCCUUUCUUUAUCUCUUCCUUCUGUGCCAUCCACUGCGUUUAUCUAGUUUCCUCUGUGAGCUUCAAAUAGAAACUUAUGAACCUUUUCGGUUCAUUUUGGUCGGAGUGGGACUCGAUCUGAUUGCAAUUCUGAAUCAAUACAACUUUCUUUUGUUGUUCCUUGUUGUCUGCAUUCGCUUUAAGGAAUGAAUCCUAUAGUAUCAUCAGUGUCAUGAAUGUCUCCUUCAAUCUUGUUUUCAUGUUUUACAGAUGAGGAUGAGCGAUGCUGUUUUCCACUUACGUUCUCUCUAGUUCUUGUACCUCAUUACCUGUUCUUGUGCUUCUUGUAGCAUGUAAAAAUUCCGGUUCCUGAGCCAAAGAAUGAUAAGGUUUUGCUGAAACUGGAAGCGGUUUCUAUAAAUCCAGUUGAUUGGAAAAUACAGAGUGGAAUGCUAAGACCCUUUCUUCCUCCAAAGUUCCCUUACGUACCUGGUACUGCCUUGAAAUCAGAAAUGUUCUGUUUCUUCGCCCAUUAUUGAUGAGAAAUACGAUGGUUUUGUAAAGUGUGGGGCCUGACUCUUUUGGGUGAAGAGAUAUUUCCUAAAGAAUGAUCACGUUUGCUUGGUGAUGCAAUACAAAGACAAUUAAAAUAAUAACGAAGUAUGAUGAAGAUAAUAUCCUCAUUCGACUGUGUUACUUUUGCACACUUCAUCAUUGUCAGAUGUUUUGGUAAUCCUGUUAUGCUUAAGAGAUGUCUGGCACUUCACUGUGUGAACUAUGAUAUGCUAACAACGGCCAAUUCUGCAGACUACUGUAUUACGUGUUGUUCCUGUUAUAAUACUUACAAGCACGUUGUGCCUGUUAUAAUAUGGUUCCGGCUCUGAGUUUCACAGUUGGCCGGUUGUUUUGUUAAGCACAUGAUCCCAAUUGAUUGCCAAAUUGCAACUUUUGCAUGCAUAUAUUUCACUUCUCUUUGGCUGAAGAGAUUCUUCACUUGUACAGCCUGCGAUGUGGCGGGAGAGGUGGUUGAGGUUGGUCCUGGAGUUAAAAAAUUUAAAGCUGACGACAAAGUUGUAGCCUACCUCAGUAUUAGUGUAAUGCUCAUUACUCAUGUUCUUCACAUUUCAUCUCUUUUAACUAGGUUUGCUCUCAUGGUGGAUCAGUUCGGAGAGUUCUUUGGUGAAACUGAUACCUUUCUGUGUCAGUUAGCUACCAUGAAGACAUCUUUUUUGCCUGCCUAUUGAUAUAAUAUAUUCGGUAUGCUUUAAUUUGAUAACACAACAGAACGGUGGUGGAUUUGCCGAGUUCGCAGUCGCAAAUGAGAGCCUGACAGUGGCAAGGCCACCUGAAGUAUCCGCACCAGAAGGGGCAGGGUUACC
rnacentral:lncRNA from 1 species